CUUUCAGCUUUACAUUGAGGUAACAGGCUGUCACUAAAACUUAAAUAGUAUGAUUGGUCUUAUUUAUCUAAUUCGUGGUGGUCUAGUUUAUGAACACCUGAAAGAGCACUUUUUCUGAUUAAUGUCAGCUUUGAGUUUAGGUUGUAUCUGAGAUUCCUUAGUUGCUCUUAUUUACCCUUGGAGGUAUUUCUCUCAGCAAUAACCAAU
ensembl:misc_RNA